CUACCAUUCAGUCCAUAGCAGCAGGUCAUGGAAAAAAAUGCACACAGUACGAUUUUAUUUAUAUAAAGCUCAAAAACAUGCAAGAUUUUGCAUUUAGGAAUCUGUACCCAUGUGGCCACGCUAUGAAGACAAGCAAAAAAUUAUAAACACAAUUCUGGGUAGUUGUUACUAAUGAUACAGAGGACGGGAAACGUGAUUAUGGAGGGCACAUGGCAGGCUUCCAAGAUAUCGGUAAUUAUAUUAGGAUACAGCUAGACUGAACAAAACAAAAAGCUUAUUUUUCCUACAUCUAAUGUCUGGGUAGGUAACCCAGGGCUAGUAUGGCAGCUCGAUGGUGUCAGGGACACUGAUUUCUUCCAUUUUCUUAGUCUACCACCUUCAGGAUGCUGCCCUUGUCCUUGUGGUCAAAAAUGGCUGGCCACAAUUCCCAACCAAUUGGAAGGAGUAAAAGAAAGGUGACUGCUACGCUGCCUUCCUUUGAAGGCCAGGACCAAAGAUUUUGCACAUCCCUUCUGCUCUCGUCUCACCGCCCAGAACCUGGUCACACGGCUACUAUACCUAACUGCAAGGAAGGUUGCAAAUGGAGUCUGGCUAGCCAACCAUUGCCCAGCUAAAAUUUCUCUUACUAUUGAAAAGUGGGAGCAUGGGUAUUGGAGGCCCAUCAAACUGUCUCAACUACAGUUUUUAAGCUGGGUAGUCAUAACAUGUUCACUUUAUUAUUAUCUAUGCCAUAUAUCUCCCUAUAUACACAUAGAUAUAGAGAUUGUAUGUCCCAUAAACAUUUGCAUUCUGUUUUGCAAAUAUGAAAUAUUUCAUAAUUUAAAAGUAGUAAAAGUAAUAAAAAUAAAAAGAACUAUUUUUUUAAACACACAUCAUGCUCUAAGCUGAUUUUCCCCUGUGCUUUUUUUGAUGAAUUUUUGGAAAUUUCCAUUUUUGAGGGUUUUUUAUUGUUGUCUGUCUGUGCGUUUGCUUUAGAGAUGAGGAUCUCACUAUGUUGCCCAGGCUCACCUCAAACUCCUAGGCUCAAGCAAUCCUCCCCCUUUGGCCUCCUGAGUAGCUGGGAUUACAGGCAACCACCACAGUGCCUGGCUUUGGAAAUUUCAAAUUAAUUCAAGACAUACUAAGGCAUAUCCGUUCUGUCUGCCUUCACCACUUCAUGUAAUAUAUUCUAAUAUCGAAGAAAAGUAGAUUCAGGAUUUCCUAUUAUUUUUCUUCUUGCAUCCAUAAAUUUUUAUUUGAUUGUUUACCUGAAUUGAAUCCCUUUCUCAAAGGACAAAGGACAUCUUGCUUUUGGUUUUACUACUAGUUCUUUUGUGUAACUUUCACUCAUAUUUUAAAUCUUCCUCAGCAUCCUCAGCCUCCAGGCCAACUUCUCAAAUAACCAGAUUGGGUACAUCUGUGUGUGAAAUAACCACUUCAAAAUCCACUUACUUUCAUUGCUUUGGAAAAAGUCAUGGGUUGCAAUCAAAAAAUCACUCACCUGGCUAGAUGUGUGGAGUAGCAGAAUUUUAUCAUCCAGGGAAUCAAGCUAUCUGUGAGGAAAGAAAAUGAUCACACUUGGGGGCCUGAUGGAAAAACAGAAAAUGCUUUCUCAUUGCAACCAGAUUCAAAGCAGCAGAGUGCAGAGAGGCAGUGCCCUCAGUAUUCCUCAGGAUCGCUUGAUUGCAAGUCUCGCAAAUAGGAAUCAAUUAUAUUUGGAGGCACACCUUGCAAGAGGAGCCUGCAGAAGGAGAGGCCACCUGGAGAGGACAAAAAGGAAAAGGGACAAGUCAAAACCAUCCAAGUGAAAAAUCACUGAAAUAAUACUUCUUGACUAGCUGCCUGAAAAUGUGACUAAUUUACACUCCUGUUAGUGACAAAGAUUCAUUCAGUCCCUGCUUGGCAAUCUUUUCUGGUUUUAGUACAUUUAGAAUUUAAAACACUUGGCCUCUAGAAAGAAAAGCAAGUUCCCAGCAGAUUCAUGGCAGUGUUGUUUCCUCUACUAUUGUUCAGUCUUGGUUGAAAUUCCUAAAUAGCAUUUAUUGCUCUCUGAGAGGUUUUGUGAUUCCUCAUGGAUGAUUUAAAUAAUCUGAUUGAAUGGUACAAUUAACUCAUACCGUGUUAUGGAUCAGUGGGAAGAUCCAUUUCUAGUUUGUUAAUGUGCUUUUUAAUUAAGCACAAGAAGUUCUUAUUCAAGCACAUUGGAAAAGAAAAAAACUACUCCCUAUAACUUUGGCCAUUUAUACCUUGUCAAAAGGGCAAAAAUUGAAACUAUUUUGUUAUUAUAUACUAAGACCGGUCCAGUAUCUUCUGAAGGUUGACAGAAACACCUGCUAAUGUUCCAUACCUACCUUCUGAGUUUCUGAAUUAUAUUUAAAAGAUAAAAGUACCCUUCAAGAGAGAAUCCACGAAACCACAAAAAUUCAUGAUCCUUAAGUGAAGUGCUUCACUACUCGCUAAUAAAUUCACAUCCAGACAAAACAGCAUGCCAUUUGAGCAUUCUUAAAACUCCUUUAAUGCAAAUUUGAGAAAGUCAUUCUCCUUUUUUUAAAAAAAAAAAAACAACUCCAGUCACAUAUUGGUAGAAAUGAUGCCACUUAUGUACAUGUCCAUUCCUUGAUGCAAAGAAUCCAGAAUGCUUGGGUAUCACUCAUUUUCAUCUACAUUAAAUGCUUUGACUCAUGCUCCACUGCAUUCAAACAACUUGCUUCAUGUCAACAGGAGAUUGCUGAUGAAUAAGUACUAGCUGUUAAUUUCAAGAUACUGAAAUACAAAUUAAAACUACAAAGUUAGCAAUUUUAAGGAGUCUAUUUUCAUUGGAUUAUGUAAUGAAAAUCAUGCCAUACUCUACAAGCUUGGUAUGGCUUAUGAGAGUCAUAAGCUUCAUAUGCCAAAACCAUAUGAAAGCUUACCUUAGAUGACAAUAUACAUUCAAAAAUCCUUACUGUG